AUUGUUUGCUUAAAUGUCAUCUUGCAAAACUGUUUUCCGCAUGUGCUGGACAGCUUAUACCAGUAACAUAACAUCAGAAGAUCAAGGACAAUGCCGAAUACAAAAAUGCAAUUCCUGCACAUUCUACCUGAUACCUAUAUGUACGGAAGAGUACCGGAUAAUUGGCUUUAAUGAACGCUGCAAACGUAGAAAUUCUAGCAGUAGAGACAUAAACGAGAUUUAAUAAAUGCUUUCAUUUAACCAUGGGGUAUACACUUGGAAUAAAUUUUGGCCUGUAAUCCCA